CCCUAUGGGGUGCAGCAGGCGCGAAAACUUUACAAUGCGGGAAACCGUGAUAAGGGAACUCCGAGUGUCCGUAAAUUCGGACUGUCCGUAUGUUUAAAAAGCAUACGAAGAAAGGGCCGGGCAAGACCGGUGCCAGCCGCCGCGGUAAUACCGGCGGCUCGAGUGGUGGCCACUAUUACUGGGCUUAAAGCGUUCGUAGCUUGGUUGUUAAGUCUCUUGGGAAAUCUAUCGGCUUAACCGAUAGGCGUCCAGGGGAUACUGGCAAUCUAGGGACCGGGAGAGGUGAGGGGUACUUCAGGGGUAGGAGUGAAAUCCUGUAAUCCUUGGGGGACCACCUGUGGCGAAGGCGCCUCACCAGAACGGCUCCGACAGUGAGGGACGAAAGCUGGGGGAGCAAACCGG
rnacentral:rRNA from 1 species